UUCUUUUUUUCUGCCUUUCGUUUCUACACCUUAUCUCCUCCUUUUCAUUUCUCGUCUCCUCUCUGUUACAUAUACACACAACAUAUGCUUACAUAUUUGUGUAUGUAUAGGCCAGAUCCGUGUAGAUCGGAGACAGAUCUACGUUUUGGCUAUGGAUUAUCGCUGUUUGGCGCCGGAGGUUCAUGUUUCACGGUCAGAUUUCUUGACGGAGAGAUUUUCCGGCGGAGAUAGGUUAGAUCGAUAUGUGUUUGUAUAGAUCUGUUGAGGUACGCGAAGUGAUUCGAUUCGUUGUACAUGUAGCUUUUAGCUUCAUUUCUGCCUAUUUUAUCGGUAGAUAUGUGGCUAAUUGAGUCUUGUUUCAAUCUAUCCGAUAGAUCUAGAUGUUAUGGUUGUUUCGGAUGGUCCGAUCUGUGAUUCUGGUGAAUUUACACAAUCGGAGGCGUUCCAGGUCUAUUCGAAAUGUACGCAGAUGAAGCUUUCUGGACUUCUGGUGAUGCGAUAUGUGACUCUCUCCGUUUGUUUGUGUUCAUUUGGAGGCGUUUUCAGGAAGUUGCGCAUACGACAUGUUGUUUCUUGAUUGAAGCUUCUCUCUGGCGGCGAAGAUAAUUGAAUUGGUAUUGAAAAUGUUAAUUUUAUUGUUGCGACUGUGAUAAGUAUAAUUAUAUGUAGCGAGAGAGAUAAAAAGAGAGGUACAGAGAGGGAAUGUUUUGAUUAUUGUUCGUGUGUGUUAAAUGUGUGUGAGUCUGGCCUUUGCCAUGUCAGGUGCGCUUGCUUGGCAGGUCAAAAAAAUAACCUAAUAAAAAUUUUUGUUUUGUGUUUUUGAAGGGAGAUGGCACGAGGUUUUUGCUCGGCUCUCCCUUCACUUUGUGUCGCCGUGUCAUUUUUCUUUUCUCUUGCACUCGUCCCCGAAUAUCUAUCAAUUCAACAGUAUAGCACGCACGAAUACCACGGUAACAAGAUCGAUUUAGAUGCAUCUUAUGUCGGUAAUACAAAUGUGCAAGCAAUUCAUGGAUUGAUCACCAGCAGCAUGUUCAACGUCUCCCUAACUCGAGGUACCAACAAUUUGCUCUUCGUAUUUUUCUCAAUUAUCAGACUUAGUUUAACAUAUGUUGGUAUUGCAAAAACAUCUAUUCACUUUAAAGCUGCUUUGGUUAACACGCACAGUAGCCAUAUUAUGUAUUAAAGCAUUGCAUAACCCAACUUCAAAUAGCGUUAAACAAUUUCAUUGUCCAUUGAGUAUAAUUUUAAUUUUUUUGUUCCAGCCAGUCUGCAAUUCAAUACCUUGCAUUUCUCUUGACAAAUAUAAAUUGCAUGAAAACCAUAAAAACUAAUUUUACCCUGAAAAAUUGAAGUAAAUAUUUGUUCUCACACAAAGAUAACACCAACACAAACAAGAAUUGACAGUCUAUUUUGAUAUCUCUCUCUUUUACAUAUUUGUACACUGCAAAGCAAUUUCUAUGCAGUACUUUCCGGCUAAUAUUCUUUGACUAGUUAAUUAUAUUAUCUGAGUUUCAUGGACGCUGGAGGUAUAAAUUUUUUGUAUUAUGUAAAAGUUUGUUAGCAUUAUUGAACAAUGGUAGCCAGUAGGGCUUUGUAUAUAUAGUAUGGUCAUUUCAGGGUUUCUUGUAAGAACCAUCAAUGCUUAUGUGUACUGGUAUUGAAGUUGGUCAUGGGAAUGUGUUUGAUUCCCGCUUCACUGGAUUAUGCUGCUGGGAUGGAUGAUGCUUGUUCAGAGAUAUAUGAGGUUAAGAAGCCUUUCAAGACUCAAUUUGCAGUUAAAUGGAUACACUUCUCAUGGUGGCUAAAGGUCUUUGUAUUGCAUCUGUAUCUCUUCGACCGAAAUUUUGCAUAUGCUUCACUCAUCAGGUGGAAUUAUCUCAAGUAUGUACCUGUUUUGCCGAGUUCUUCACAAUCAGCAAGUUAUCUGAGUUUCUAAGAUAUAUAUCGAGUCUGCGCUCAUAUCAAUUGAUAUUUUAACAAGCUCUUGUUUUUAGCGGAUAUAAUGAUUGCUGUUUAUUUGAAAGUAUUGGUCUGUUUUUAAUCUAAUGUGAUAUUAGUCAUCUGAUUUUUUGGUGAAAUGCUCUGUACUUUAUGUUAUUAAGUUAUGUAGUUUUCAAAAUUGAGCAAUGUAGUUGAAGCUGUUAGCUAGUAUCACUGGAUGGAAUCUUCAGGAGCCUUGCUAGUUUGGUCCAGGAUUGCUAAAUUUCUUGGAUGGGAGUGUUUAAUGGACGAAAAGAUAAUCAAUUACAGAGUUGUUGAAAUCAUUCCUGUGGUCAAAUGGAUAUGAAUAUGAUUUGUAUAUUUUUACGUUACUGGGUCAGAUUGCCAAAGGAAAGAUUUGCCUUGUUUUGGACUUGGCAAAAAAUUGUUAAACUCUGUAUGAAUUUCAAGUGAGGUUUUAAAGGAUGGUGAGGCAUUAAAAGAUAAAUGUCCAUUUAGAAACGUUGUUUGAAAGAAGUUACACAUCUAUACAGUUCUGUAGGGAAAUGCGUUCGGAUAAACUCUUUAGGUAAAUGACGUGUGUUAAAACUGCGAGAAAUUGCGAAAGCGAACCCAUAAGCUCAAACUGGAAAGAGCGCUCAAAUUUGAUUAUUUGAGAGGUUGGUGGUUCGAUUCCACCUGGGUUCUUUAUCUGCCUGUAGCAUUGAAGGGGUGUUUGGAUUUAUAUUUUGCGUCUUGUGUCCAAUAAUGUUUUGUUUGGCUUGUAUUAUUAUUAUUUUUUUUUUUGACAAAUAUGGCUUAUAGCCUUACAAGUGAGUAUCUGUUCUAAGAUAUUUUCGAGAUGAGCCAGGGUCGAACCCAAGACCUGGGACGACAGAGGAUAAGCCCUUAACCACUGGGCUAUCCAACCGUGCUCGGCUUGUAUUAUUUUUUAGAAAUGAGAUAUAUAGCACUUGCUUUUGGAAA